AUAAAUGUCGGCUUGAUGACCAUUAAAAAGGGUGGUUUGAAGCCAUACCGUGGAAAAACUAUUUUCCUAACAACAGACCCUGACGCUACUGCCACAAGUCUGCUCAAUCAAGCUGUUAAAAAAAUGAAGGACUUUAACAAAGAUCUAAAAGAUGAACCUUUCCUUCUUCUGUAUCCGGAUGGCACUGAGGUCAUUACUGUCCCUGGAACACAAAGACCAUUUACACUUGAGGCUUAUAAGGCUGAAGUUGGCAAGCCUUAUCAAAGAAUCACUGUUUUCAUCUGCUUGAAGAGUGACUUUGAAGAUGUUGGAGAAAACUCAGACUUGUCUGACUCUGACCCAGAGAUUGUUAUUAAAAGGCCCUCUGAGUUUGAUCUUGCUGAUACACUGGUAAGUACAAUUUAAAAUUUUUUUAUAGAGUUUUCUUGUUGUUUAGCCACCACCAUUUGCCUCAGUUCAGUAAAACAGUUAAUAGUCAUAUGUGAAAUACAUUUUGUGUGUGUGUGUGCGUGCUCGCGUGUGUGUGUUUGUUUGUUUGUUUCAGCCAUUGGAACUUCAACAUGAAAGCAGUCCUUUACAGAAAGCGGCAGAAUAUGAGAAGGGUGCUGGGGAUCUUAUGCUUGCUAAUGAAGUACAACAGAGACACCAAUUUGCAGGCACAUGGAAUUAUUGCAAAUUUGGCACUGGAACUUGACCACAAGAAGGUCGGCAGGUUCAAUAUAUCAAGGUCAGCUGUAUGGGAUGGAGCUGUUAGAGGAUUUCGACGCAGCACAUACUCUGACAACUACGACAUGUUCAUCAAGUUUAAUGAUGAUGCUGGCAGCUUUGAAGAAGGUUUGGAUACAGGUGGCCCGAGGCGUGAAUUCCUCACACUUCUUAUGGGCAGUCUGCGAAAUCGCCCCAUCUUUGAUGGACCUCCAGAGAGCCGUUAUCUUGUAUAUAAUUCAAGAGGUGGAUGUUUUCUCCGUAAUUAUUACAAUGGAAAUUUUAAUAAAAUUGGCGUAUUUUUUUUAUUAGCAUAUUUAAUAGCAAUUAACCAUGAUAAUUAUGUGCCCUGUAUAACAGCUGCCAGGCAAGAUGAGUACUUUUUAGCAGGAAAGAUGAUCGCUGUAUCCAUUGUGCAUGGGGGACCAGCACCACAUUUCCUCUCCAAGAACCUGGUCAACCACAUCACAGGGAAUCAGAGUUUCAGCGCCACUGUAGAAGAUGUGCAAGAUGAGGAGAUCACAAAAAUUUUACAUCAGGUAGAAAAUUACCUAGGCUCAGGGAAUGGGUUUACUUAGAAGACACUUGGGGCCAGUUUAAAAGAUUUAAUUGGGAUAAAAGUUAUCCGGGUUGGAUCAUAUCUUGAAAGUAGAUUCUGUAAUCUAAAAGGACGGAUUUCCAACUCCCAACAACACAAGUGAAAUAACAAAUUGAUUAUUUUUUUAAUCCAAUGUUUGAAUGAAUCGUAAAAGUAGUGAAAAUUAUAUUUUUGUUUUUCUUACAGUAAACCUUUUUUUUUUUUUUAUAGGUUCUGAAAGCUGAAUCAGAGGAGUCUUUGCAUAAUCUUAUUUUGCAAAACAGCACAAUCUUCCAAACUGCUGGAUGCCUCAGAAACGUCAAGCCUUUUGAGAAACAAGCAUUUGUGGAGGAGUACCUCAGAUGGUACAUCCUUGAAAGAAACCAAAGUGUCAUUCAACGGUAAACUCAUUACUCCUUUUAAAUUCAGGAUGGCCAGUUGCUCAUCACAGCAGCCACUGACAUUUUCAGACCUUCAGAUGUAUAUGAAAAAACUGAUUCAGUAGCAUCGGUGAUCUGAUGAACAACUAGUUAAUUCCUGAGCCACUGUCGCACGCUAUUAACCUUUUGACACUAGAACUCUAAUUUAGUAUACAUUUAUUGUUCACAAUGACCCAUAAUAAUCAUAGUCAUGCAACAUGAUUAAUUUUUCAGUUAUUUAUAAAAAGAGGUGAUCCCUUGUUUGACACACGUGUUUAUUCCAGUGUGAAAGCACUAUUUUUUUUUUUAAUGCUAAAAUCCCAAUGAGCUCUUCUUUUUUUGCUGUCACAGUUAAUUUCUGAGCGCUAUGAAUUGUUUUUGUGUAUGAGUGAUUCUAUGCAUUUGAAAUCUGUCCAAAUUUAUAAUGAAAGUUCUAGUAGUUAAAGACAUUUAAACACAAUUUAGAAGACUGCAAUAGUUAUAGCUAUAAACCAAUUAUUAGUUAUUUGUCUAUCCUUUGCAGAUUUAAAGAUGGACUGGAAAGUCUGAAUUUUUUAAGUGCACUGCAACAAAAUUCCAGUGUGCUGGCCCCACUCCUAUGCUUCUCUGCCAAGGCCCUGACUGCUUCAGAACUGGAGAGCAUGUUCAGACCAGAUCUCAGCCCAGCAGGAAGCAACAAGCGGCAUAAGGAGGUCCUAACACUUGGCUUUUGGGCAGAUUAUCUCCUUGAUUGUGAAGGUUUGAAUGACCAUUUUUAUUUGUUUAUAGUUUUAUGAAAGGAGAGGUGAGGAAAUAAAUUUUCUGUAAUGUACUACAGUGUUUACUUUCUUCUUUCAGAGAAGGCAACAGCAGUGUGUCUGGAAGAUUUGAUGAUGUUUGCCACAGGGCUGACGGCAGUUCCACCGGCAGGAAUGACACCACCACCACGCAUCCAGUUUUUAAGUGUUUCGCCUUUUCCAGUUGCAAACAUCUGUGCAAAUACUCUGAAACUACCCAUCUGUGACUCAUACAGCAUCUUUAAGGCCAACAUGGACUUUGGAAUUCAAAAUGCUCCAGGAUUUGGAUGUUCUUAAAUCAGCAAGGUCAUCAAGUUACAGUUACUGAGUUACCCUGUUAGGUUCAGCUGCCGUUGGCAUACUACUUAACACAUUUAUGUGACAAGCAACUUCCAUAUUGUUAAACAUUUAGUUGUUUUUUCUGAAUAUUGUGUAUGUUGGAAAAGUGACAGAAAUGCUGGACACUAUUUGUAAAUGGUUUUAUUAAAGAAAAUUUUAAAUGUUUCAUUGUGGUUAAAUGUUAAUAUUUAAAUCCAUGCCAGUUGCUGUAUAUUAUGAACAAUAUUAUAUUCAAUUUAGCAAGAGGGAAAGGAAACACUACUAACAUUAAAAAAUGAAGGAAAAACAGAAGGGCUGGAGCACUCAAGUCCAAAGGUUUUAUUAGGUGCAAAAAAAGGAAAGAAACUAACGUUUCGACACCGUGUGUGUCUU
ensembl:lncRNA